GAAAAUGUGGCUUAGUGAGUGUGCGGUGGUGCUUGUUUAUCUCCUUGAGACAGAAUAGGUGAAGGAGACGCAACUCGGGAUAUGAUAAAAAGGCGUGGAGGCAGAGUAGUCGAGGAGGCAAGAUGGAUGCGUGGCACAGUGUCCAGGGACCCUUACUAGCAUAUCACGAACCUGUCCUCUGUUAUGUCAUGCAGUUCAUGAGUUAUUGUUCAUGCAUUAUAAACUUGGUAGAAGGUCGGUGGACUCACAAUAUAAAUAAUACAAGUGUAGGAGAUGACAUCAAAGAGGUGAUAGAGGAUGUGGAGAUGGAGUAACUGAGGAGAUAAAGAUGGAAUGCAUAGCACACUGUCCAGGCAGCUUAAGAGCAUGUUAAUAAAUGUAGUCUUUUGAUUGCCAUGUGGAUGUGAGUUGGAGACUAUUCAUUUAUGUUUUCAUGUUUUGUCGUUGGGAGAUUAAGAAAAUUUUUAUUCGAAAGAUAUAUAUAGAAUUCAAGUUUGUAUA